GCUCGUGUAGCUUACUUAAAGCAUAACACUGAAGCUGUUAAGAUGGGCCCUAGAAAGCUCCGCAAGCA
rnacentral:tRNA from 2 species